rnacentral:rRNA from 1 species
CCGAAUGGGGAAACCCAGUGUGAUUCGUCACACUAUCAUUAACUGAAUCCAUAGGUUAAUGAGGCGAACCGGGGGAACUGAAACAUCUAAGUACCCCGAGGAAAAGAAAUCAACCGAGAUUCCCCCAGUAGCGGCGAGCGAACGGGGAGGAGCCCAGAGCCUGAAUCAGCAUGUGUGUUAGUGGAAGCGUCUGGAAAGGCGCGCGAUACAGGGUGACAGCCCCGUACACAAAAGCGCAUGUGCUGUGAGCUCGAUGAGUAGGGCGGGACACGUGGUAUCCUGUCUGAAUAUGGGGGGACCAUCCUCCAAGGCUAAAUACUCCUGACUGACCGAUAGUGAACCAGUACCGUGAGGGAAAGGCGAAAAGAACCCCGGCGAGGGGAGUGAAAAAGAACCUGAAACCGUGUACGUACAAGCAGUGGGAGCACCCUUUUGGGUGUGACUGCGUACCUUUUGUAUAAUGGGUCAGCGACUUAUAUUCUGUAGCAAGGUUAACCGAAUAGGGGAGCCG